GACGGUACUUGAGGAAUAAGCCACGGCUAAUUCCGUGCCAGCAGCCGCGGUAAUACGGGAGUAGCAAGCGUUAUCCGGAAUCAUUGGGCGUAAAGCGUCCGCAGGUGGCUUUGUAAGUCUGCCGUUAAAGCGUGGAGCUUAACUCCAUUUCAGCGGUGGAAACUACAAAGCUUGAGUGUGGUAGGGGCAGAGGGAAUUCCCGGUGUAGCGGUGAAAUGCGUAGAUAUCGGGAAGAACACCAGUGGCGAAGGCGCUCUGCUGGGCCAUAACUGACACUCAUGGACGAAAGCCAGGGGAGCGAAAGGGAUUAGAUACCCCUGUAGUCCUGGCCGUAAACGAUGAACACUAGGCGUCGGGGGAAUCGACCCCCUCGGUGUCGUAGCCAACGCGUUAAGUGUUCCGCCUGGGGAGUACGCACGCAAGUGUGAAACUCAAAGGAAUUGACGGGGGCCCGCACAAGCGGUGGAGUAUGUGGUUUAAUUCGAUGCAACGCGAAGAACCUUACCAGGGUUUGACAUCCUGCGAACCCCUGAGAAAUCGGGGGGUGCCUUCGGGAACGCAGUGACAGGUGGUGCAUGGCUGUCGUCAGCUCGUGUCGUGAGAUGUUGGGUUAAGUCCCGCAACGAGCGCAACCCACGUCUUUAGUUGCCAGCAUUCAGUUGGGCACUCUAGAGAGACCGCCGGUGAUAAACCGGAGGAAGGUGUGGAUGACGUCAAGUCAUCAUGCCCCUUACAUCCUGGGCUACACACGUACUACAAUGCUACGGACAAAGGGCAGCGAACUCGCGAGGGCAAGCAAAUCCCAUAAACCGUGGCUCAGUUCAGAUCGUAGGCUGCAACUCGCCUACGUGAAGGAGGAAUCGCUAGUAAUCGCAGGUCAGCAUACUGCGGUGAAUACGUUCCCGGGCCUUGUACACACCGCCCGUCACACCAUGGAAGUUAGCCACGCCCGAAGUCGUUACUCCAACCCUUGUGGAGGAGGAUGC
rnacentral:rRNA from 1 species